GGGGGGAGCAAGCGUUGUUCGGAUUUACUGGGCGUAAAGGGCGCGUAGGCGGCCUCUGCAAGUCGACUGUGAAAUCUCCGGGCUUAACCCGGAAAGGUCAGCCGAUACUGCAGGGCUAGAGUGCAGAAGGGGCAACUGGAAUUCUCGGUGUAGCGGUGAAAUGCGUAGAUAUCGAGAGGAACACCUGCGGCGAAGGCGGGUUGCUGGGCUGACACUGACGCUGACAGCGCGAAAGCUAGGGGAGCGAACGGGAUUAGAUACCCCGGUAGUCCUAGCCUUAAACGAUGAAUGCUUGGUGUCUGGGGUUUUAUAGUCCCCGGGUGCCGUCGCUAACGCUUUAAGCAUUCCGCCUGGGGAGUACGGUCGCAAGACUG
rnacentral:rRNA from 1 species